AGUGAACGCUGGCGGUAGGCCUAACACAUGCAAGUCGAACGGCAGCACAGCAAGAGCUUGCUCUUACGGGUGGCGAGUGGCGGACGGGUGAGGAGUACAUCGGAAUCUACUUUUUCGUGGGGGAUAACGUAGGGAAACUUACGCUAAUACCGCAUACGACCUACGGGUGAAAGCAGGGGAUCUUCGGACCUUGCGCGAUUGAAUGAGCCGAUGUCGGAUUAGCUAGUUGGCGGGGUAAAGGCCCACCAAGGCGACGAUCCGUAGCUGGUCUGAGAGGAUGAUCAGCCACACUGGAACUGAGACACGGUCCAGGCUCCUACGGGAGGCAGCAGUGGGGAAUAUUGGACGAUGGGCGCAAGCCUGAUCCAGCCAUACCGCGUGGGUGAAGAAGGCCUUCGGGUUGUAAAGCCCUUUUGUUGGGAAAGAAAAGCAGCAGGUUAAUACCCCGCUGUUCUGACGGUACCCAAAGAAUAAGCACCGGCUAACUUCGUG
rnacentral:rRNA from 1 species